CCUCAAAUCAGGUGGGACUACCCGCUGAACUUAAGCAUAUCAAUAAGCGGAGGAAAAGAAACUAACAAGGAUUCCCCUAGUAACGGCGAGUGAAGCGGGAUGAGCUCAAAUUUAAAAUCUGGCAGUCUAAGAUUGUCCGAGUUGUAGUCUAGAGAAGCGUUUUCCGCGUAGGCCUGUGUACAAGUCCCUUGGAAUAGGGCGUCAUAGAGGGUGAGAAUCCCGUCCUUGACACAGAUCAUCUAUGCUUUGCGAUGCGCUCUCGAAGAGUCGAGUUGUUUGGGAAUGCAGCUCAAAAUGGGUGGUAAAUUCCAUCUAAAGCUAAAUACUGGCGAGAGACCGAUAGCGAACAAGUACCGUGAGGGAAAGAUGAAAAGCACUUUGGAAAGAGAGUUAAACAGUACGUGAAAUUGUUGAAAGGGAAACGAUUGAAGUCAGUCAUGUGGUUCGAGAUUCAGCCGGUUCUGCCGGUGUAUUUCUCGAGCUACAGGCCAGCAUCAGUUUCGACCGGUGGAAAAAGUUGGAAGGAAUGUGGCAUCCUCGGAUGUGUUAUAGCCUUCUUUCACAUGCAUCGGACGGGUUUGAGGAACGCAGCGUGCCUUUAUGGUCGGUCUUCGGACACGAACGCGC
rnacentral:rRNA from 1 species